rnacentral:rRNA from 1 species
GAUGAACGCUAGCGGGAGGCUUAAUACAUGCAAGUCGAGCGAGAAGGUUUUCUUCGGAGAACUGGACAGCGGCGCACGGGUGAGUAACGCGUACACAAUCUGCCCUAUACAGAGGAAUAGCCCUGGGAAACUGGGAUUAAUGCCUCAUGGUCCUUAAAUGUGGCAUCACAUUAAAGGUAAAGAUCCGUCGGUAUAGGAUGAGUGUGCGUACUAUUAGCUAGUUGGUGAGGUAACGGCUCACCAAGGCGAUGAUAGUUAGGGGGCGUGAGAGCGUGAUCCCCCACACGGGUACUGAGACACGGACCCGACUCCUACGGGAGGCAGCAGUAAGGAAUAUUGGGCAAUGGAGGCAACUCUGACCCAGCCAUCCCGCGUGUAGGAUGAAUGCGCUAAGCGUUGUAAACUACUUUUAGAUAGGAUGAAACCCCGAGAUUUAUCUCGGGCUGACGUUAUUAUCAGAAUAAGCACCGGCUAACUCCG